rnacentral:lncRNA from 1 species
ACUACUGAAUAGUUAUAUUUCUAUUUUAUGGUCACACGCUUGUUUAUACGUGCACUUGUUUAUACGUGCGCUUGUUUAUACAUGCACUUGCUUAUACGUACGCUUGAUUAUACGUUCACUUGUUUAUACAUAACCUCGCAACCAGUGAAUGCACAGGUUAAUACUAUUUUUAAUAUAUGUUGUGAUAUUUUAUUAUAAAAAUAAUCGUCCACUCACUUUUUGUAUAAUUAAAACGAAGAGAAAGCAUUUAUAUACAUUAAAAAAAAAAAAAGUUUUCGAAAAAAUGGAUAAUAUAAUUAAACAGAACAAUGCUAACAUUUUAGAUAGGAAUGUAGAAAAUGCUGUAAUAAAUAAAAACAACAUUAAUAAUAAUUUCCAUUUAUCCAUAGAUAAAUAUUCUAAACGUACGACGGAAGCACGAACUGGUAUUAAACUAUUAAGAAGCAAUGUUUUAAGUAUUUUUAGUUACUCUUUAAAAUAUAUGAAUAAAAAAAGUUUAAAUAAAUGGCUUAAAAGUAAUAUUAAGGCACCGUUUUAUGACACAUAUGUGCCCCAUAACAAACCACUAGCAUAUAUACGAUUUAAAACACAUGAUGAAAUGAAAAAUUUUGAAAAAUUAAUCGAAAAUAAACGUUUCUAUCCGAAUGAUAAUUUAUCAAUUAUUAAAAUUAACAAAUCUUCCAAAUACAUGCAAAAAAGGAAACUGAAUGAACAUAGUAAGUUGAAGAAAGUAAUAAAUAAUACUAAAGUCGAAAAUAUUGAAGGUAAUAAUGCUACUAACAAUGAUGAAAAUAAUUAUAAUAAAAACAGUAACAAUAGUGAAAAGCAUACUAUUAUAUACGAAAAUAAGAAAAGAAAACGAGAAGCCUUAAAUGGUCGUCUUACCUUUAAACAAACAAAAACAAACCAUGAAAUACUACCAGACUUAAAAUCUAUCAUAGAAAUUAAUAAAAACGAAAAAAACAAAACUAUCGAAAAUUAUGUAACUCCACUUUAUAAAUAUAAUUAUGCUGAUCAAAUUAAAAUAAAGAAUACAUUUUUAGAAAAAUGCAAAAAUAAAAUUAUAAGUAAUUUAAAAGAAAAGUAUAUGAAACAAAGUUUACUUUUUAGCAAUGAAAUAUCAGGAGAUAUUUUUUCCAAUUCGAAUACAACAAAUAACAACAGCUCAAAUAAAAAAAGUACUUAUUUACGUCCUUCUAACAGUAACAAUACUACGCUUACUACUCUUUCUAACGAUAGUAGUAAUCUCAGUAAUGACAACGAAGGUAAUAUAAAACAAGAAAAUAACAACGAAAGCCCUUUGGAUAAACAGAUAAAACGAUACGAAAUAGAACUUGACCCACCUUUAUAUUCUGACGAAAAUAAUGUUACUGGAUAUAGAAAUAAAUGUGAAUUUACUAUUGCUCGUGAUGAAAAUAAUGACAUAGAAAUAGGUUUUGUUGUAGGUAAAUUUAAAAAUAACGUAAAUGAAACUAGCGAUUAUACUAGUUGCAAUUUCAGCGAAAAUAAUAUAAGUAAUAACCCUUCCCCCAUAAAUGAAUCACAUCAAACUAGACUUAGGAAUAAAAAACAACAACAGGCAUAUUAUCUAAAUCCUAUUGUUAAAAAAGUUGAUGCUUGUAUUCAUAUCC